CUUUCAGGCACUCUGUUGGUUUUAUGGCGCCUCUUCUUGCGAAUGUUUGUGUAAAAUUGACAUACUGUGGUCCUUUUCUGCACAAUUACGGCAAGGAAAAUUCAGAUCGCAAAGGUCCACCUCGGACGUUACUGGGAGGAAUGAGGGCGAGGAAGAGAAAGACGUUAGUCCUCGGACCGUUUCCGAGAGUCAUCUCCGGGAGUAAUGCGAAGAUGGACACGCUCAGUCCUGCCUGUGCAUGCGCGUUCGCGUUGUACGGAAUUCCCAAGCCAGCUG
rnacentral:lncRNA from 1 species